rnacentral:rRNA from 1 species
UACAGAGGUGGCAAGCGUUGUUCGGAAUUACUGGGCGUAAAGGGCGCGUAGGUGGCCUUCUCAGUCAGACGUGAAAUCCCCGGGCUUAACUCGGGAACUGCGUCUGAUACUGGAAGGCUUGAGUUCGGGAGAGGGAUGUGGAAUUCCAGGUGUAGCGGUGAAAUGCGUAGAUAUCUGGAGGAACACCGGUGGCGAAGGCGGCAUCCUGGACCGAAACUGACACUGAGGCGCGAAAGCCAGGGGAGCAAACGGG